UACGUAGGGUGCGAGCGUUGUCCGGAAUUAUUGGGCGUAAAGAGCUCGUAGGUGGUUUGUCGCGUUGUUCGUGAAAACCGGGGGCUUAACCCUCGGCUUGCGGUCGAUACGGGCAUCACUGGAGUUCGGCAGGGGAGACUGGAAUCCUGGUGUAGCGGUGAAAUGCGCAGAUAUCAGGAGGAACACCGGUGGCGAAGGCGGGUCUCUGGGCCGAUACUGACGCUGAGGAGCGAAAGCGUGGGGAGCGAAC
rnacentral:rRNA from 1 species